GACGAACGCUGGCGGCGCGCUUAACACAUGCAAGUCGAACGGAAAGGCCUGCUUUCCCUUGUGGAUUGCGGGUACUCGAGUGGCGAACGGGUGAGUAACACGUGAGUGAUCUGCCCCCAACUUGGGUAUAAGCCUGGGAAACUGGGUCUAAUUCCCGAUAGGACUGCAGGGUGGUGCCUGUGGUGGAAAACGAUUUUCUAGUGGUUGGGGAUGAGCUCGCGGCCUAUCAGCUUGUUGGUGGGGUAAUGGCCUACCAAGGCGGCGACGGGUAGCCGGCCUGAGAGGGUGGACGGCCACAUUGGGACUGGGAUACGGCCCAGACUCCUACGGGAGGCAGCAGUGGGGAAUAUUGCUCAAUGGGCGGAAGCCUGAUGCAGCGACGCCGCGUGGGGGAUGACGGCCUUCGGGUUGUAAACUCCUUUCGACCGCGAGGAAGCCACCUGGUUGGAAGGGUGGUGACGGUAGUGGUAGAAGAAGCACCGGCUAACUACGUG
rnacentral:rRNA from 1 species